GACGAACGCUGGCGGCGUGCCUAAUACAUGCAAGUCCACCUUAGUGGCGAACGGGUGAGUAACACGGGGGUAACCUACCCAUCAGAGGGGGAUAACACUUGGAAACAGGUGCUACUACCGAAUACUGAUGGAUGGACCCGCGGUGCAUUAGCUAGUUGGUGAGGUAACGGCUCACCAAGGCGACGAUGCAUAGCCGGCCUGAGAGGGUGAUCGGCCACAUUGGACCUGAGACACGGCCCAAACUCCUACGGGAGGCAGCAGUAGGGAAUCUUCGGCAAUGGUCGAAAGUCUGACCGAGCAACGCCGCGUGAGUGAAGAAGGUUUUCGGAUCGUAAAGCUCUGUUGUUAGAGAAGCGGUAUCUAACCAGAAAGCCACGGCUAACUACGUGCCAGCAGCCGCGGUAAUAC
rnacentral:rRNA from 1 species